AUUGAACGCUGGCGGAAUGCUUUACACAUGCAAGUCGAACGGCAGCACGGGUGCUUGCACCUGGUGGCGAGUGGCGAACGGGUGAGUAAUACAUCGGAACGUACCCUGACGUGGGGGAUAACGUAGCGAAAGUUACGCUAAUACCGCAUACGUCCAGAGGGAGAAAGCAGGGGAUCGUAAGACCUUGCGCGUUAGGAGCGGCCGAUGGCGGAUUAGCUAGUUGGUAGGGUAAGGGCCUACCAAGGCGACGAUCCGUAGCGGGUCUGAGAGGACGACCCGCCACACUGGAACUGAGACACGGUCCAGACUCCCACGGGAGGCAGCAGUGGGGAAUUUUGGACAAUGGGCGAAAGCCUGAUCCAGCCAUUCCGCGUGAGUGAAGAAGGCCUUCGGGUUGUAAAGCUCUUUCGGCAGGGAAGAAACGGUUUUGGAUAAUACCCAGAACUAAUGACGGUACCUGAAGAAGAAGCACCGGCUAACUACGUGCCAGCCGCCGCGGUAA
rnacentral:rRNA from 1 species